ensembl:lncRNA
GGUUGCCAUGUUAGUCGUAAAAGAUUCGUAGUUGUAAAAGAUCUGUAAUGUAAAAGAUCCGUAGUGUAAAAGAUGCGUAGUUGUAAAAGAUUCGUAGUUGUAAAAGAUGCGUAGUUGUAAAAGAUUCGUAGUUGUAAAAGAUGCGUAGUUGUAAAAGAUCCGUAGUGUAAAAGAUGCGUAGUUGUAAAAGAUUCGUAGUUGUAAAAGAUCCGUAGUUGUAAAAGAUUCGUAGUUGUAAAAGAUUCAUAAUUGUAAAAUAUUCGUAGUUGUAAAUAGAUCCGUAGUUGUAAAAGAUUCGUAGUGUAAAAGAUUCGUAGUUGUAAAAGAUUCGUAGUUAUAAAAGAUGCGUAGUUGUAAAAGAUCCGUAGUGUAAAAGGUACGUAGUUGUAAAAGAUUCGUAUUUGUAAAAGAAUCGCAGUUGUAAAAGAUUUGUUGUUGUAAAAGAUUCCUAGUUGUAAAAGAUUUGUAGUUGUAAAAGAUUAGUUUUGUGUAGCUUACAUUUUAUGUAACCGCAUGUCACAAACUGGGAUUGUUUUUUUUUCGCCGUUUAUCACACAAGCUAGCAUUUUAAAUUCAUAAACGUGAAUCAAAGUGGGUAAACUCAUUGCAUUUGAUAAAGAUUCAGAAUCAAAAAGGGCAAUGCUUUUAGUAUUGAGUGUUGUUUAACUUGGUUGUACAUAGAUUGCUUAAUUGCUUAACCGUGAGUCAUCUGUGCACAGGUGAAAUUUUAUGUGACACAAAUUUGGAUGAACAAAAUUGAAUUGGUUGAAUUUGAUUCAUUGAAUCGACUCGGUAAUUUUUUUUUUAAUGAUUCGCUUAGGGUGAACAGUAGCUGGUAAGUGUUUUUUCUUGAUUUUUAGUUGAAACUAGUUUUAGCAUCGGCUGUCAGAUAGAAGCUGUAACUGCGUUCCUUGUUGCUACGAGUUGUUUACACGUUGCUAGAUUAGAGCUAAUUCACACGAUUACACUUUGUUUUGCUAAUUAAAGAGGCAUGCUCAGGUGUGAAGCACCCCCACUACAGUACUUGAGAACUAGGAAACGCUGAGGCGGAAACGUCAGCCCUCACAUGAAGCCUUCUUCGUGUGAAGCCCGAGCUCGUGUAAAGACCUGCGAGUCUACCUGCACGAGUCCACCGUAAAGACACCACUCACGCUGCUAAGUAUCACUUUCUCCCUCUCUCCACCUUGUCCUCC